GCAUAUCAAUAAGCGGAGGAAAAGAAACCAACAGGGAUUGCCUCAGUAACGGCGAGUGAAGCGGCAAAAGCUCAAAUUUGAAAUCUGGCACCUCUGGGUGUCCGAGUUGUAAUUUGGAGAGGAUACUUCGGGCAUGGUUGCAGCAUAAGUCCCUUGGAACAGGGUGUCAUAGAGGGUGAGAAUCCCGUCUUAAGUUGUUAACCAUGUCCAUGCGAAGUUCCUUCGACGAGUCGAGUUGUUUGGGAAUGCAGCUCUAAGUGGGUGGUAAAUUUCAUCUAAAGCUAAAUAUUGGCCAGAGACCGAUAGCGAACAAGUAGAGUGAUCGAAAGGUUAAAAGCACCUUGAAAAGGGAGUUAAAUAGCACGUGAAAUUGUUGAAAGGGAAGCGCUUGCAACCAGACUCGGUCACAGGGGCUCAGCAGGCAUGCGUGCCUGUGUACUCCCCUGUGUUCGGGCCAGCAUCAGUUCUGGCGGUUGGUUAAAGGCCCUUGGAAUGUAUCGUCCUCCGGGACGCCUUAUAGCCAAGGGUGUAAUGCGGCCAGCCGGGACUGAGGAACGCGCUUCGGCACGGAUGCUGGCAUAAUGGUUGUAAGCGGCCCGUCUUGAAACACGGACC
rnacentral:rRNA from 1 species